AAAAAUCAAGUCUUCAAGAGAGAAAAGAAGAGACCGAAGCUAGAGACAAAAAGGGAAAAAAAUUGCCAAGUUCUUCAAUUUUGAUCUAAAAAUCUCGUCUUUCUCAAAUUCUUACUAAGUUCAAGCUCCUCUUUAAAGGGGUAUAAUUGGGUAAGCGAGAGAACUACGAUUGUGGCAAGUCGAAAAUUGAAGAAAAGAUUUUUGGAAAGGCCAAGAGUUAGGUGUGGUGACUAAGGAAGCGGACAAGGUACACACAGACAAGUAGAAGUUACUAUAGAAGAUGUUCUAGCGGGGUUAGCAACUCCACUUGUUCCUGGAGUGCUGCCGAGUCAGAGUAUAUGCGCUAUGAUGUUUCAUUCGAAGUUAGAGACUUUGCAGACAGAGUCGUGGGUAUAGAGUGUCAGCUUUGUAAGUGGCUUCACCAGCCGAUAUGUUAUUAUGUCGUAUGUCACGAGUUUUAUGGGAGGAGAGAUUUGGAAAGCUUAGCUAUGUUUUUUUUUUCUUAUUGAUGUAAAAGUCUAAAUAGAUUAAGUAUGUGCUAUGAAG